GUCGCAUAUCAAAUCAUAACUCUAGAAAUUACAUAUCCUUAAAAUUGUACAACACUAUAAGGGAACUUGUAGAAUAAGAUUAACAAAAGACAAAAAUAACAUUUUAUGGGGCAAACCUUAUCAGAUGGCAGACCAGAACCCUUUUUGCGUUGUGUCACAACAUCCGACAUAUCCACGAAGUGCUCUCAAAAUGCCGAAAGUUUCUGCGUUCGUGAAGGUUCUGUUGCCGGUGAAAACGGCGAGAACUUAGAAUUUAAAAUUUCCUUGUAUUCUAGUAUUCAAAAAUUCAUUAAAAUAUACAGCAACAUAGUAAAAUUCGACGAUAAAAAUACCACCAUUAUUCAACUUUAUACAAUGUACUCUCUAAAAGAUUAGUUGCCAACUGCUCUGCACGUC